rnacentral:rRNA from 1 species
GACGAACGCUGGCGGCGUGCUUAACACAUGCAAGUCGAACGCUGAAGCUUGGUGCUUGCACUGGGUGGAUGAGUGGCGAACGGGUGAGUAAUAAGUGAGUAACCUGCCCUUGACUCUGGGAUAAGCCUGGGAAACUGGGUCUAAUACUGGAUACGACAUGUCACCGCAUGGUGGUGUGGGGAAAGGGUUUUACUGGGUUUGGAUGGGCUCACGGCCUAUCAGCUUGUUGGUGGGGUAAUGGCUCACCAAGGCGACGACGGGUAGCCGGCCUGAGAGGGUGACCGGCCACACUGGGACUGAGACACGGCCCAGACUCCUACGGGAGGCAGAAGUGGGGAAUAUUGCACAAUGGGCGGAAGCCUGAUGCAGCGACGCCGCGUGUGGGAUGACGGCCUUCGGGUUGUAAACCUCUUUCAGCACAGAAGAAGCGAAAGUGACGGUACGUGCAGAAGAAGCGCCGGCUAACUACGUG